rnacentral:lncRNA from 1 species
AAGGCGAUGGAUGACUCGGAAUCGGGAUUCUUCAAUUCGGAGAUCCAUUGAGCUGGAUUUGGAAGUUCUCUAUAAACUUUCAAAAUGAGGUUUGUUUUUGUUUUUGUUUUUGUUUUUUAAAUAAUACUAGUUUGUCACAUGGGAAAAGGAAAGUUCUAGAGCCCAGUGGCUUUGCCAGAUGGUUUUUGUGUGUUCUUGAGCCCGUUUCUCUUACAUUUAUUAUCCUGCCAUAACAAUUGGAGAUGUUUCCUAUCUUAUUUUUUCUAAGUAUGCAUUCAUAUUAGAAAUGAAAGUUUGAAUAUCGCCACAUGAGAGCACCACAGAGGUGUUUGCCAGAUGCUCGGAACAGUGCUGCGUUGACACACACGCCCUCGCUCAUCCAGCUGCCCCUGCCUUCGUAAACAGCUCAGUUAUUAGGGAUGGAGUCUGUAUGUGGUAGGCACUCUAUUCUUCAGGAAACCCAAAUUAGGUUGCCAGAAUCUAGCUAAUACAAAUGUUGCAAUUUUGUUGUUUGAUUUUUUUUUUUUUUUUUUUUUGAGACAGGUUCUUGCUCUGUAACCCGGCCAUAGUACUUAUAUAGCUCAGACUAUAUAUAAAUAGUACUUGUUGUGUAGCCCAGGCUAUCCUCCUGCAAUGAUCCUCCUGAGGCCGCCUCUGAGGGCAGGGAUUAUAGAUUGAGCCACCAUUCGAGGUUUAAAAAAUCUCAAAUUUCAAGGUAAAAUUUGAAAUUCUUUGUAGCCCAAGACAUUUUUUUUUUGUUUGUUUUUAAGGUGAAAAAUUUGCCAUAGAAGAUGUUUGUGAAGAUAAUGCUACUUAAUAUGGAGAGAGCUCUUGACUCUUCUGAGCUGCCAUAAAACUGUGAAGUCAACUUAGGCUUUAAAGUAUUUGCUGAACUCUAAAUUUGAGGACAGAAUGAUUUUUUUUUUUUUUUAGUUUUUAGAAAUACCACAAUCUGGCAUUACUUCUGAGUAGUAAGUAGUCAGUGACUUCCAAAAUGUGUGAAGGAUACUAGAGGAGUUUCAUUUCAUUAAAAAAUUAUUUUAAUUGUGUGUAUGUAUAUGUAUAUACACACAUGUAUUUGGGUGCAAGUACCUGAAGAGGCCAGAAGAGACUUCAAGCUCCCUGGAGCUGGAGUUCCAGGGGGUUACAGACCUCUGGCAUAGGGCGCUGGGAGCUGGAUUCGGAUCCUCUCUAAGAAAGUUGCACGGCGCCAUCCCUCCAGCCCCUCCCACCCCCGCUUCCUUCCUUCCUUCCUUCCUUUUUAAUUUUAUUUAUGUUUGCAGUUGUUUUGCCUGCACAGUGUUUGUGCCUAGUUCUGUGGGAUGCUGGAAGACAGUAUUGGAUCUUCCGAACUAGAGUUAGGCAGUUGUGAAUCACCAUGCGGUGUUGGGAACUAAGCCCCAGUCCUCGGGAAGAGCAGACAGUGCUCCUAACUGCUGAGCCAUCGUCCUAGCACCUUGCUUUAUUUCUCUGUGGAGAUUUGGGUCGCUGGCUUGAUAAAUACAAAGAAAGUGGCACUGUCAAAUGCACUGUGAACAUAAGCAGUCUGUCUGUCUUUGGUUUUGCUUUUGUUUUUCAGACAGGAUUUUCAUAUAGCCAAGGCUUUCUUCUGUUCGCCCUGUUUUUGUUUUCUCCUGAUGGGACGGGAUAGGAGUUUAGUAGCUGAGGAGUGCUGCUGCGGUCUGUCUGCCCCGUGCCUAGAACGGGAAUUGCCUGCUCUACUUGCCCCAUUACUGGAGUUGUCUCAGUGAAGGUGAUGACCUGGGACAGCAUCAUGUAUUCUGUUUCUUGUACUUCCUGUCUUGAUUUAGCGUCUGACAUCCUUGCCGCAUCAGGGCCUUUUCAGUUGUAUUCUUCAUCUUCUUGUUGUUGUUGCUGGGUUUUGCCAUAAAUGGAUAAAGAUACUAAAGGAAUUGAUGUAAUCAAUGAAACAUGAAUAUUACCUGUUGUCUUUUCUUAUUCUGUGUAUUCAUACAGUGUACAACUUGGGGUCCUAGGAUUAAAAGGAAAAAAAAAACAAUGGAAGGGGUAUUUUGUCUGAAAGUAACAUAUAUUUCAGAGUCUCUUUGAUGUUCUAAGAGCAAGGCCAGCAAAAGGAGCUUUGGGAGAGGGAAAAGGUAGGAUAGCUCUAAAAAUCGCAGCUGAGUAACUUGAGACUUACGAUCACUCCGUGAUGUGGGCAGGUCAAACAGACAGUUCUUUUUUUAUUCUGUGAGAGUCAGGUUCAGGGAUGAUUGUGUCUUUCCUUUCCUCUGAGGCUGCCUUCGCUGUUGUCACAGCUAGCUGGCAGAACUUACCAGGUCUGUUUUCUGAUUGCCCUUUGCCCUUCAGUCUGAGUAAGCUGACCACUUUAAAUACAUCAUGUGUUAAGGAUCGUCUCAGUUUCCAUCUCUUACUUGAUCCUGUACCUUAGUUCUUGUGAAGACACAUUUGGUUAGUUACCUUUUAACAAAACUUGACAUUUAAAUCUAGUGAUGGGACUUCAGUAUCAAUAACAUUUUGAACAUUACUUUUUC